UUACCUGUGUCCACAUACCGCUACAAUUCUCGUUUUUCGAAGAGUUUGUCUCUUAUUUGUGUUAGCAGACGGUUAUACUAGAAAAAUUGAAAAUUGUACAUUUUUCAUCAUGAGAAAAAAAAGAUGUAAAAUCAAACAAUUGUUUAGUGUGGAGUUCAAGUGAUCACCUAGUGUGGAUGUGAACAUUCGUACAUAUCAAUGGGACAUACCUAUGGGUUGUUUCUCGUCCAUAUUUUAUUUAAUCAUCGCAGCACUCAUUCAAUGUCCUUGAUUAAUGAAGUUGGCCUUAAAAUUAUAUGCAGUACAAUCAUUCAUCAUAAACAAAUCGGAGAUAAGUAUUCGUUUUUUUACAUCAUUAUAUCAGUCACCUCGGUCGGGAAACUAUUUUCAUAUUCCCGCCAAGGAUAAACAUCAGUUAUAUUCUAUACAUUACAACACUAUUGACCUUUUUCCUUGUCUUUACAGCUGGCAUGAUCCCAGACUCGUAAUACUUGUUUACCAAAAACCAUCCAAGCUAUGGGAUUGAAGGUAACGGCGAGUUUGUCGCUAAGAUUGGAAUCUUUCUUCAACACAUCAUCGACCGUAAAAAACUUAAGGGACACGAGAGAACAAAAUACGGAUGAAACGUGCUAAUUCUACCGUCACUCUGCUAAUCAGCUAAUGCAAAUCUGAGCGAUGCAGCAAGAAGAGGAACGGGAACUUGCUUUGGAAAUGCUCAUCAAAUUGAGGUGGUUGAGGCUGCGAUUGAAAUUUGCCUCUUGUACGCAGUUUAUAGAAUGAUUCCAACGAGAAAUUUGAUGUUGUUUAUAGAAUA